rnacentral:rRNA from 1 species
UACGAAGGGGGCUAGCGUUGUUCGGAAUCACUGGGCGUAAAGGGCGCGUAGGCGGCUUGAUAAGUCGGGGGUGAAAGCCUGUGGCUCAACCACAGAAUUGCCUUCGAUACUGUCUGGCUUGAGACCGGAAGAGGUCAGUGGAACUGCGAGUGUAGAGGUGAAAUUCGUAGAUAUUCGCAAGAACACCAGUGGCGAAGGCGGCUCACUGGUCCGGUACUGACGCUGAGGUGCGAAAGCGUGGGGAGCAAACAGGG